AAGCCGGGCAGAAGCAAUAAAUGACCGAUGUAGAGGAGGAAUUAACUGUGGUGGUGGUUUUCUCUCUUUGGGACCUACAGCGCCGACUCCUCGAGAAGGUGGGGCCACGCCUAGGGAGGAUGAUGGGAAGGUGCCUCCAAAGUCCCGGGGAAGUAACCCAGGCCGUGGAAUCCACAGAGGCCGAGGGGAGAGGUCGGCAGAUGUAGGCCCGGACUGCACCUAAUCUUAGUUGGACUCACAGACUAUGCAGAAGGAAACCGAGGCCCUGGGAGGAGCAGUCACUUGCCUAAGGUGGCACUAGAGUCCUAGCCUCCGCCCUCCGUCUCCUGCUGUUCAGCGCUCCCCAUUAAAGCCUCAGACCCUGGAGCGCCUUCUGCAUACGCUCUAACAGGGAUGCUGCCGGCAACUAGAGUUACUCUGCGGGAAGCGUGCUGGCUAGCUGCUCUUUCAGCUUGAAAAGUGAGUGUCCGUCCGGAAUACGCACUCCGAAAAGGAAACUCAAAAAUAUGGGGAAAGUAAUCUCUCAGGGUUACCUUUAGGUCCAAUAAUCAUACUUCGGGUAAAGUACCCCAUAGAAAACACAAUUUCAUGAGGAUAUUUAUGCAAGGAUCGGCAUUGCAGCAUUAUUAUAGGGGGGAGAAGUCCGUCAUAUGGAAAAUGGCUGGAAAAGCGUGGUUCAUAUAGUCUGCAGAAUCCUAUGCAGCUAUUCAAAUGAAGGAGAUCAAGUGUGUUUGCCUAGAUGAAUGCCCAUGACCAGAAAUGCCUUUAGUGGGAUCCUAACCUGCUAAGAGAAAGAAGAAAACUCCUUUAUUUGUGUUUGUGUUUGCACGAGAAUAGAAACUAUGUGGAAGGACGCACAGGCUGUGAACAUAGGUUAUCUCCAGUGAAAUUGCUGGAGAAGGGGGCCUUUUUUCUUUGUAUCUCCCUCAGACUUUAACCUGUAAAAAGUUUGUAUUCACAUUUGAACGUUUAAACCCAGUGACAUGUUUUGGAUCACAUACAUACAAAAUAUCUCCCAGGAGCCCAUGAUCUUUUGUCAGCCCGAAAGAGCAUCAAGUCAAACCAGAAUCCUCCCACUCAGUGAGAGGCUGGCGAGGAGGAGGAAAGAAAUGUUUGAUGAGCAGCUACUGCUUGUGUUUUCUCAGAGAAUCCACACGCCUACUCACAAGGUGGCUGUUAUCCUCAAUAUAGAUGAGAAAGUGAGGCCGCGGGGGAUUAAGUAACUAGUCUGAUAGGUAACACAGAGCCAGGCUUCCAGGCCAGCCUGGGCCCUUUCCAGGACCCUGAAAUGCCCCCUUAGCUAUGCCUUCAAAUUGGAGACUGGUGGAUGGAGGACGUCAGGCAAAACUGGCUCCAGGGACAGGAAACAGAGUGAUUUGAUGCCCACGGCUGACCAAGAGAUGGGCUUCACUGCUGCCUUGGGGCCCUCUGGAACAAGGAAAAGCACAGCUCUGGCUGCUGGGCCAAGUGUGGAGAUUCCAGUCUUCCAGUCCCAGAAAGGACCUCUCAAGGCUGCAAGGGGCUCAUACACUCAUGCUGUGCUCUGAACCCAGAACCUGGAUUAUCUCAUUCAAUUGUUUGACUACCUGAUGCCAUAGGUAAUGUCCUGGCAGUCUUACAGAUAAGGAAACAGAACUUAUAAACUCUCCAAAAUAACAUAUUCUUUCCACUACACCACUUGGCCCCAUUUUCAUCCUACCACAUCACACUGUAGAUGUGCCCACUAAUCAUGUGGGCAAGUUACAUAACUUUUUAAGCCUCUGUUUCCCCAUCUGUUAAAAUGUGGAUGGUCAGUUAUCUGAGUGGCUUGUUGCAAGAGUAAGAGUGAUCAUUCAUUCAUGUAAAGCACUAAUUGCAGCACCUGGCACACAGCAGGGGCUCAAAACAAUCCUGAUGACUAUUAUAGCACUGCUCUUACUGUUGUGUCCUGUAAACCACUGAUUGCCACCUGGGACUGCAGCAUUUCGAUGAAAUUCCAUAGGUUGCCUUAUUGUUUGAUUUUCUUGAUCCAUUCUCCCCACAAAUAUUUAAGCACUUACCUGACCCUUCGUUGAGUCGUGUAGAAGCUGACUGUCCAGUGGAAGAGACAGGCAAAUUCCUAAUUAGUAGGUUAUGGGCUGAAUGGCUUAUUGAUUGUAUUAGUUUGCUAAGACUGCCAAUAACAAAAUGCCAUAAACUGGAUGUCUUAAACAACAGGGAUUUAUUUUCUCACAAUUCUGGAAGCUUGAAGUCUGAGAUCAAGGUGUUGGCAAGGUCGGGUUGCUUCUGAAACCUCUCUUUGGCUUGUAGAUGGCCUUCUACUGCCCAUGUCUUUGCAUGCUCUUCCCUCUGUGUCUCUGCCCUCUUCUUAUGAAGUCAUAUUGUAUUUGGGCCCAACUUAAUCACCUCAUUUUAACUUAAAUACCUCUUUAAAAACGCUAUCUCCAAACAUAGUCACAUUUUGGAGGUCCUGGAACUUAGAACUUCAACAUAUGAAUUUUGGAGGGACACCAUUAAGCCCAUAACACUGACUGACAGGUAAGUCCUUGUGCUGAGUAUCUUCCAUUUGCCCAUUCAGAUCCACAUCCACACUGUGCCCCAGGAGGAUGACAGCAGGACUGCAUCCCCCACCCCUUGCCCUCUGCUUCCAGUUGGAUUCUAGUUGGUACCACGAGUGGAAGGCUUUGGCAGGGGACUAGAAGAAAGGAGAGUAAAGUCAGUCUCUAUUCCCCUGGCUCCCUCCAUGGACAGUCCAGGAACAUAAAGUCACAGCGCCACAGGGCCGCCUCUACACAGAACUCUCUCACCAGCUUCCCGUCACUGUUCCCUCCCCUGCUCCUUCAGGUCUUGACUCAGUAAAUUAUGCCCCUCUGUUACUAGCCAUAGGCUCCAGGCCAUCCUUUGUGGCUUCCUUAUACUCCACCCACAUCCUUGUAAACAGUGCCCUUAUUUAAAUAGUGCCCAGGAGUUUGAAUGACAAAAAGAGUAAGAGCAGAACAGAUGUGGGAAGUGAAAAUCCCAGCAUAUUGAUGAAAUCAUUCCAACAGCUACCCACCUUUGGCAGAGAGCCAGGGUCAGGGAGCAAUUAGCUGACUGCUUUAAAAGAGGAAGAAAGCACUAGUAUAUACUCGUUACACAAUCCAAGGACCAGGAAGGGGAAGGGCAAGGAGGCAGGAGUGCCACCUCUCCCCUCCAGGCUGUGGAGUGCUCCCUCUCCUGGCCCAGUACCCUCCUUUGAGGCCCACACCUCCUCCUCCUUUCAGGAGUCAGUUGGAAAGACACUUCAGUCCCAGCACACACUCAGCUGGUCUGGGUCAACGUGCCUCCAGGACCUGCUCCGUCCCUCCCUAAGCUUCUCUCUGGAGCAAUGCCUGUUGUAACUCUGCCUUCUUGUCUUCAGUCUGUCUAACCAGGCCUUUUGGAGGGCAGGAACCCAGGACAGGAACCCGGAGUCUUAUCUCUGCUUCCGCACACCCGGGCUGGUGCUUGGCCCACAGCUUGGUCUUAGAAAGAGUUUUCUGCUGAACAAUGUGAUGAAUAAAGCCAAAUUAGGACAAAAAGGAUGCAGCGAUCUUCAGUCCUCCUUUGCUGGCUGCCCACAUCCAGUCCUCCUUGAUGGAGGCCUUCCCCACACACAUCCAUGUGGAGAAAGCUGGAGUUACAUGGAAGAGUCCUCUACCCCACCAUGUACCUGGUCAUUUCUAGUUCUGGCUAUCCUCUGUGCCUCAUGGACAGAUCCCUUUUGUAAACCUCUGGGCCUCUGCUUUGUCAUCUGUAAAAUGGGCAUAAGCAUAGCACCCAGCACAGAGACUUGUUCUGUGGGGUCAGUGGGGUUAAUACCUGCAGAAUGCUUAAAACAAUGCCUAGUGUAUUGUAACUGCUCAAUAAAUAGGAGUGAUGGUCUAA